UAUCUCUUUCAUCUCUCUUUUUUUCUCAUCUGCUUCUCUCACUUCUCUUUUUAUAUUUCACAUUUAAAUUUUUUUAUGCCCACAGAGAAGAAGUGGAAGAAAAUUAUGGACGGUGGAAGAGAGUUCAGGCGAAAAAAACGAUGGCGGUGAAGGAAGAAAGGAAGAAUCUGGUUGGUGGUGAAAGAGAACUCAGUCAAAGAAGAGGGUGGCGGUGAGGAUAGCUCAGUAGCAACGAUUAUGACUUUAUAUUGUCGAGGUAAGAUAACUUGUUUCUUGUAGAUCUACUUCCCCAAAUCCUUUCUUCAAUCAAGCUUCUGAUUUCUUUUUGGUGUCUGUCUUUUUUUGCUUUCAAUUUCAUAUUGAUGUUGAUUGUAUAAUAUCAGAUGACGAUUUGAAGGAAGAAGACAAGGCAGCAAGCUUAUUUUGGAUAUUUUUUCAAGAAUAGUUUGGGGGACUGUGUUUGGUGGUUGUUGUUUUAGUAUUAGUUUUGCUCUGUGUAGGUUUUGGUAGGACUGUUGUGGGUGGAGAUGGUUGGAUUUGGCUAUUUGCUGAAUCCUUUUUCUACAUUUGUUGGGUUUUGUUGCUUUACCGAGGGAUGUUUGGGUUUUCGUAUUUCUAUUGUUUUUGUUACUAGGAAAAUUAACAUGCAUUAGCUAGUGUUGCAUUUCCUUUGCAUUAUUUGCAGUUGGGUGGGAGUUUUUUUUACAUUUUUUUCCUUCUUAUACUAAAUAUACACCAAUUAUUAAUAAAAAAAUAUAGAUAGAACGGACUCGUAAUAUAAAUAUAACAGACUCGUGAUGG
rnacentral:lncRNA from 1 species